AGCUGGCUAGCCGGCUAAUCGCCACAACAGACGACUAGCGAUGCUAAAUCUAGCCACAAAAGGCGUCGUUAUGUGCGGAAAAGGUGCUUCUGUUCACAAGGAAAUAUGAAGAAACCUCCUAAUGAGAUGAAAGCUGCCGGGAUGUUCAGAGGGAGAUGAUGCCACAUCUGGUCCAGCUGAUGGAAGGUCUUGAAGUUCUCUGACUGGCCUGGACUGAAGAUGGUCGUCUCACUGGAUUUAAGGUUCAGAUGCUCAGUAACAAACUCCACCAAUGAGCCAACAGGGAAGCUGUAGGUUUAUUAAAUGUUGCUAUGAAGGUUUCACUGUUUUUCUUUGUGAAUGCAAUGAGCUCCAACUGAAAGUUGAAUUAGAACUUAGAAGUAAAUCCUUCCAUCUGAAAGGAUUUAGUUGCAUUAAUAACCUCAUAACAUUCUAAUUUUUAUUCCAGUCUUGGUUGGAAAUAGAAUCUCUGUAUUGAUUCAGGUGAAAACUGAACUUCACAGCAUGUUGGAGCAAAACAACCAGAUGAAAACUGUGAUGGUGUUGGAUUGUCAGACCGUAAUGUUGCAGCUCAAAGCAGCUUUUCUAGCUCAGUUCAUUCUGACAUUCAGCUAUGAAUCAACACAGCAGAUGGUGAUCCAUGCUGUGGAAGUCUCACAUCUCCUGAUUUAAUGGAGCUGCUUUGCACUUUUUACACUGUUUAUUCACCAACACUUUAUUUAAUAAAAGUUCCAAUCUAGUUUUUAUGAGGAAUGUGAUGUUUUAAUUUCUCUGUGAAUAACUGCAGUCUAAUGGAACAGCUGGAAUUGUAACAUCUGUCCUGAUAUUGAUCAUGAAGUAUUGAUCAGAAUACUUAUGGUCAGCAGUCAUCCCUGAAGUUUUACAUUAAAAUCUUUACUUGUGUUGUGAACUUUGGUAAGAAGCAGAAACGUUAGCGUUGCCAUGGAUAUAUGAGUGUUAAAUUCUGUCCAUGUUUCCAUUUUGGGAAAUUCAGUCCAGCAGAUGAGUUUGUUUUUACUGCCAGCUACCAUUCAGUCUGAGAUAUUAAGAAUAAAUAAAUGUGCAUAAUGUGGAAAUGAACAGAUUUUAUUUUUAUUUAUUCCUACAGCGGAUGCAGAGAAAGUUCCAGAAUGUGGAGGAAUUUAGUCUCAUAAUCACAGACAAUAAAUAUGAUCUGAAAGUCGGGUUAUUGUUGUUUAUCAGCACAAUACAAAAAGAUUCAUGUUAGAAAUAUUUCAGUUAAGACUCUAGAGUAUCAUGAUUUAUGUAAAUUUACCUCAAUAAUAUGAAUGUUCAGGUUAAGAUUGUGCAGUGAUAUUUAUUAUGUUAGUUUAGCUGAUUAAAAUUUAUGACUCUGCACUACAAUAUUAUUAUUUAAAUUUACAUCAUUAUUAUAAUAUUUAGGGUCAGACCCUACAGUAAUGAGAUUAAGAAAUCAAAUAUUCUACAAAAUGUAAAUACACUGAACUCAUUUGGAUAUAUUUAAGUGAGACUCUACAAUAUUAUUUGACACAAAUCUAAAUCAAAAUUUUCAUCAUUUUUACUCCAAACAUUUACUGGACUGAUUUAAAUAUUAAAAUCACUCCUUUCUAAUCCUCUGCUGUACGUUCAAACCUGAGGCCUUAAAUAGAAACACACAAGUAUCUGAUUGAAGGAACUUCUGCAGAGUCCUGGUUCCAGAACAUGAUGAUAGAAUUAUAGACAAACUUUAACAAAAGCUGCCUGAGAGUUUACAGGUGUUUAUGUUAGAUUUCUUUAGUAAUUUAAUGAGUUAUCAGCAAAAAUCAAGUGUUCAUUUGAUGAACUUCAUUCCUAAAACAUCCAGAAUUGGAGCUCAUAUCUUUGGCAGCUGUAAAGUUUCUGCUCCUUCAAAGUUCACAACACAAUGAAUGAAUUCCUAAAAUACUCUCAAUGCUGGAGAGCGUUUGAUGCUGAAGCAGUGAUCAGUUUUUCUGUUUCUUCUCUGGAGAUGCACAAUGAGGGACGUCUGCAGAGACUGAGAAAGAAUCUCACCACAUCCUGACAUGAGGAAAAAGACUUUAUUGAAGACUACAAUGAGAAAAACUAUCAGACAGCAGACGGCUGCAUUCAAGGUGAGAUCUGAACAUUUGAUCUGGAACAGGAAUUCAAUAACGGCAGCAUGAGCUUCAUUUCAGUCUGUAGCUGCUGAAUUCAUGGAUGAAUCAUCUGGCACUAGAGAGGAAGACCAUCAAACAUCCACGUCAGCUGAUGGAGGUCCAAGGUUCUCACCCAACAAACAGCCUACUGAGUGAAGACCUCGAACUUGUUUGGACGGCCUCCUAUUCAGCCACAUUUUAGGCUGUUAGAUUGUUCCAGACAAGUACAAGAUACUUCACAGCCGUUCUACCACGAGCCUGACAGGAAGAACUCCAACAGCUACUGAAUGUUCCUGUGGUUCCCUCAAGGCUACAGGAGGAGCCCUACGAGGACGAGCCGGUCCACCUGAUGGCGGCCAGUCGCUGCGGUUCAAAGCCAACACCGACUACGUGGACUUCUACUGGACCACACGGAGGCCUUCAAACCGGACCAACAAGUUCAGCGACUCCCCGACUCGUGGGUCUGAGGACGCCGCCGAGCCUUGGUCCAGCCGGCCUCCUGUCUGUGGGUGUUUGAGUGCUGAGAGGUUUGUGGAUGCAUGUGAACAUGUUUGUGUUGAAACAGCAGCUUUGGACUCAGUAACGCCGGGAAAAACCAAGAGCUCCUUUAUUUGUGACUUUCACUAAAAAACUGAUGAAAAUAAGUUUGCCAGGGUUCUGACUGAUAACAGAUUAUUAAAUAAUGAAAAUAAUCAUUUAAAUAUUCCUUUAAACAAUCCUUUUAGGUCUACAUUUCUUUUACACUGACUUCUUGGUAUAUGUACAAGUAUUUUGGGUGGAAUAUACCAUUAAGCCCAAUGUUCAAGGGUUCUUCUGGGAAUAUACCAUUAAACCAACCUUUUAGGUAAAUGUUCCAGGAUGUUGGGUAGAAUAUACCAUCAGAUCAACCUUUUAGGUCUGCAUUGGAAGAUUUUAGAGUAGAAUAUUACUCCAAACAAUCCUUUAGGUCUACAUUUAAGGUGGAAUACUCCUUUACACCAAGAUUUUUUGGUCUACAUUGAAGGAUUUUAGGUGGAAAAUUCCUUUGAACAAACUUUUUAAGUUUAUGUUCAAGGAUGUUGGGUGGAAUAUACCAUCAGACCAACCUCCAAGGUCUACAGUAGUGAAUUUUAGGUGGAAUAUACCAUUAAACUCACCUUUUAGGUCUACAUUGGAGUAUUUUAGGUGGAAUUUUCUUCCAAACCGUCUUUCAGUCUAAAUUUAAGGAUGUUUAGGAUGGUAUAUUCUUCAAACCAACUUCUCAGGUCUACAUUUCAGGUGGAAUAUUCCUCCAUACUAACUUUUUGGGUCUACAUUGAAGGAUUUUUUUUCUAAACCACCCUUUCAGGUCUAUAUUUGAGGUUUUAGGUGGAAUAUUCCUUUUACCAGCCCCUCAGGUCUCUUUGAGGAUUUUGGAUGGAAUACUUGGUUAAAGCAACAUUUUAGGUGCAUGGCCAAGGAUUUUUGGUGGAAUGUUCCUUUAAGGUGGAUGUGUGAGGACCUUGUAGGUGGAAUACUUCCUGAAACCAACCUUUUAGGUCAACAUUCAAAGAUUUAAGGUGGAAUAUUCCUUUAAACCAACCUAAAUUUCAUGUUUUGAUCAUUAUCAAGUGAGAAACCUCAAUCCAGACUCCUCAUAAUGACGUAUGAGAUUUAUGCUGCUGUUAUUUGUUUAGUCCAGACUAAAUGACAGAAAUCCACAACUGUAAUUUUAUUUCAGGACUCGGUUAUUAAAUGUCAAAACAAUCCAUGUGACUCUAAAAACUCAACAGCUUUACAAACUCUAAGAUUAAACUCUCCACAAGGAUCCAAAAUAAGUUAGACUUCUACAUGAGAGCUUUAGUUAUUCUUCAUCUACUUCCUGAAAAGUUUGGUCAAUAAAAAAGACAAAAACUAAUAUUUUCAGCUGAACUAAAGACAGACUUUGUGAUUUUUCUGCUCACAUGUUGUGUUGUUGCAAACUUACUCUUUCAAAUAAAUAGCCUCCUAA